UGACUACAGGGGUAUCUAAUCCCUUUCGCUCCCCUAGCUUUCGUCCCUCAGUGUCAGUGCAGACCCAGCAAGGCGCUUUCGCCACCGGUGUUCUUCCCAAUAUCUACGCAUUUCACCGCUACACUGGGAAUUCCCCUUGCCCCUAUCGCACUCUAGACGCUCAGUUUCCUCUGCCUUUACGGAGUUAAGCUCCGCGCUUUGACAGAAGACUUGAACAUCCACCUACGGACGCUUUACGCCCAAUAAUUCCGGAUAACGCUUGCCUCCUCCGUAUUACCGCGGCUGCUGGCACGGAGUUAGCCGAGGCUGAUUCGAUUGGUACCGUCAGAACUUCUUCCCAAUCAAAAGAGGUUUACAAUCCACAGACCUUCUUCCCUCACGCGGUCUUGCUCCGUCAGGCUUUCGCCCAUUGCGGAAAAUUCCCCACUGCUGCCUCCCGUAGGAGUCUGGGCCGUGUCUCAGUCCCAGUGUGGCUGAUCAUCCUCUCAGACCAGCUACCGAUCGUCGCCUUGGUAAGCUCUUACCUCACCAACUAGCUAAUCGGACGCGAGCUCAUCCUCAGGCAGAAAACUGUUUCACCUCUCGGCAUAUGGGGUCUUAGCGGUCGUUUCCAACCGUUAUCCCCCUCCUAAGGGCAGAUUCUCACGCGUUACUCACCCGUCCG
rnacentral:rRNA from 1 species